rnacentral:rRNA from 1 species
ACGGGUGAGUAACGCGUAUGCAACCUACCUAUCGAGGAGGGGAACUAACCCGGCGAAAGUCGGACUAAUACCGCAUAAAACAGGGGCACCGCAUGGUGAUAUUUGUUAAAGAAAUUCGCUGAUAGAUGGGCAUGCGUUCCAUUAGGUAGUUGGUGAGGUAACGGCUCACCAAGCCGACGAUGGAUAGGGGAACUGAGAGGUUGGUCCCCCCACACUGGUACUGAGACACGGACCAGACUCCUACGGGAGGCAGCAGUGAGGAAUAUUGGUCAAUGGGCGAGAGCCUGAACCAGCCAAGUCGCGUGAAGGAAGAAGGAUCUAUGGUUCGUAAACUUCUUUUGCAGGGGAAUAAAGUGCAGGACGUGUCCUGUUUUGUAUGUACCCUGAGAAUAAGGAUCGGCUAACUCCGUGCCAGCAGCCGC